AGGGUUUGAUCAUGGCUCAGAACGAACGCUGGCGGCACGCCUAACACAUGCAAGUCGAGCGAGCCUUCGGGCAAGCGGCGGACGGGUUAGUAACGCGUGGGAACGUACCCUUCUCUAAGGAAUAGCCUCGGGAAACUGAGAGUAAUACCUUAUACGCCCUUCGGGGGAAAGAUUUAUCGGUGAAGGAUCGGCCCGCGUCUGAUUAGAUAGUUGGUGGGGUAAUGGCCUACCAAGUCUACGAUCAGUAGCUGGUUUGAGAGGAUGAUCAGCAACACUGGGACUGAGACACGGCCCAGACUCCUACGGGAGGCAGCAGUGGGGAAUCUUAGACAAUGGGCGAAAGCCUGAUCUAGCGAUGCCGCGUGAGUGAUGAAGGUCUUAGGAUCGUAAAGCUCUUUCGCCAGGGAUGAUAAUGACAGUACCUGGUAAAGAAACCCCGGCUAACUCCGUGCCAGCCGCCGCGGUAAUAC
rnacentral:rRNA from 1 species